UGAGGAAUAUUGGUCAAUGGGCAAAAGCCUGAACCAGCCAAGUCGCGUGAGGGAAGACGGUCCUAUGGAUUGUAAACCUCUUUUGUCGGGGAGCAACGGCGCCACGUGUGGCGGAAGAGAGAGUACCCGAAGAAAAAGCAUCGGCUAACUCCGUGCCAGCAGCCGCGGUAAUACGGAGGAUGCGAGCGUUAUCCGGAUUUAUUGGGUUUAAAGGGUGCGUAGGCGGAACGUUAAGUCAGCGGUAAAAUUGCGGGGCUCAACCCUGUACCGCCGUUGAAACUGGCGUUCUAGAGUGGGCGAGAAGUAUGCGGAAUGCGAGGUGUAGCGGUGAAAUGCAUAGAUAUCGCGCAGAACUCCGAUUGCGAGGCAGCAUACCGGCGCCCAACUGACGCUGAGGCACGAAAGCGUGGGGAUCGAACAGGAUUAGAUACC
rnacentral:rRNA from 1 species